GACGAACGCUGGCGGCGUGCUUAACACAUGCAAGUCGAACGGUGAUGCCCAGGUUGCUGGAGUGGAUCAGGGGGGAAAGGGGGAGUAAAACGGGAGGAAACCGCCCCAGAACCUGGAAAAAGCGGUGGGAAAGGGGGCUAAAAAUGGAAAAGGAACUGGGCCGGAUGGGGAAGGGUUGGGAAGUUUUUCGGUUUGGGAUGGGCUCGCGGCCUAUCAGCUUGUUGGUGAGGUAAUGGCUCACCAAGGCGACGACGGGUAGCCGGCCUGAGAGGGCGACCGGCCACACUGGGACUGAGACACGGCCCAGACUCCUACGGGAGGCAGCAGUGGGGAAUAUUGCACAAUGGGCGAAAGCCUGAUGCAGCGACGCCGCGUGAGGGAUGACGGCCUUCGGGUUGUAAACCUCUUUCAGCAGGGAAGAAGCGAAAGUGACGGUACCUGCAGAAGAAGCACCGGCUAACUACGUG
rnacentral:rRNA from 1 species